rnacentral:lncRNA from 1 species
UUGAGAUUGAAGGAAUGAGGGGAAGGCCCCUGCGCUCCAAACAUCAGUUCCCUCUCUCGCACUAUGCUGCCCGCAGGAGCCUUCUCUGAAUUUUUUUUUCCCCCUACAGAUGGUUUUAUUAGAGUGUUUCACAGUUCCGUAAUAGAAAAUCCACAUCUAUAAUGGUGUAAAUACCAGGGAAUUUGUCCCAAGGUGGAGCUAGUUGAAAGGCUGAUUUGCUUCCCAAGUUCUCAGUCUUAUCAGGACUGCCCAUCAAUAGAUCUGUAUUCUCCCAGACCCACACUCCUGCCUGCCUCACUUUUGGCCUUAGGCUGGUUUCCCUCCUGGUGAAGGCAGCUGCCAGUACUCCAGGGUCCUUGUUCACAUCUAAGAGGAGGGAAGAGGCCCCUCUUCUCCCAAACAGAACAGAGCCCCAAGUUUUACUCUGAAUGCAUUGAUUUAGGUUUUGCAUCCAUCCCUGAACCACAUCUCCCACAAGAGAAAACACGUCGGGCAACCAGGGUGCCUUCCUGGUCUCUCCAAACCACAGUUGCCUCUUGGGGAAGCAGUCCAGCAGUGGGAAUAUAACCACAUGGCUCCCCUUUGCAUCUCGGAUCCUUGAGAGCCAGGAACACAAAGGGCCUGUGUUCCACCCCAUGGCUCCCUUCAUAGCCCUUGGGACCCAACCAAGAGGAAUGCCAUUUCUGCACUAGCUGGGACUGAGAGACAGUCUGCAUUUGCUGAGCUCUUACUGUAAGCAUCAACUGCUGACCUUGACAAUUGACCUGUGACAACUCAUGGAACCUCACGAUGACCCUGUGAGGUAGAUGCUUGUUGCCAGGUGAGGUACAGUACAGCUCGACCACAAGGGUCACUGCAGGGAACUGAAGACAGUGAGCCAAGCUGAAGCUGGUAGAGAACCAAGACCACAGCAUUUCAGAGUGUUCUGGAGCUCAG